AAGUCGUAACAAGGUUUCCGUAGGUGAACCUGCGGAAGGAUCAUUACCGAGUUAGGGUCUCCUCCGUGAGGCCCGACCUCCCAACCCUGUGUCUAACAAACCUGUACGUGUUGCUUCGGCGGACCGGCAGUCCCCACUGGGACCGUCGCCGGGGGGAAAACGGUCUCACGACCGCCUCCUGGAGAGCGUCCGUCGAUGGCCCAACCAAAACAACUCCCAAACCCAAAAUAUUGUACCUAAAACUUCUGAAUCAGACCUUUUGAUAUACCAAUCAAAAACAAAACUUUCAACAACGGAUCUCUUGGUUCUGGCAUCGAUGAAGAACGCAGCGAAAUGCGAUAAGUAAUGCGAAUUGCAGAAUUUCCGUGAGUCAUCGAAUCUUUGAACGCACAUUGCGCCCUUUGGCAUUCCGAAGGGCAUGCCUGUUCGAGCGUCAUUAUCCUCUCUCAAACCUCGGGUUUGGUGUUGGACCGCGUUGGACCGCUUUACGGCCAACUGGUCUCAAAGACAAUGACGGCGUCCUAGGGACCCUCUUCGCACUGAGCUUUCCGGAGCACGCGUUGAGUUAAGGCCCCCGGGACCCGGUCACCUUCUAAAACUUCUCAAGGUUGACCUCGGAUCAGGUAGGAAUACCCGCUGAACUUAA
rnacentral:rRNA from 1 species